UAUGGCUCCCAGUGAUGGGAAAUGUAGUCCCAGUCAGUCAGUGCGGAUUGUUACUCCAGGUGCUGUGGCUCCCAGUGAUGGGAAAUGUAGUCCCAGUCAGUCAGUGCGGAUUGUUACUCCAGGUGCUGUGGCUCCCAGUGAUGGGAAAUGUAGCCCCAGACAGUGCGGAUUGUUACUCCGUGCGCUAUGGCUCCCAGUGAUGGGAAAUGUAGUCCCAGACAGUCAGUGCGGAUUGUUACUCCGUGCGCUAUGGCUCCCAGUGAUGGGAAAUGUAGUCCCAGUCAGUCAGUGCGGAUUGAUACUCCAUGUGCUAUGGCUCCCAGUGAUGGGAAAUGUAGUCCCAGACAGUCAGUGCGGAUUGUUACUCCGUGCGCUAUGGCUCCCAGUGAUGGGAAAUGUAGUCCCAGACAGUCAGUGCGGAUUGUUACUCCGUGCGCUAUGGCUCCCAGUGAUGGGAAAUGUAGUCCCAGACAGUCAGUGCGGAUUGUUACUCCGUGCGCUAUGGCUCCCAGUGAUGGGAAAUGUAGUCCCAGACAGUCAGUGCGGAUUGUUACUCCGUGCGCUAUGGCUCCCAGUGAUGGGAAAUGUAGUCCCAGACAGUCAGUGCGGAUUGUUACUCCGUGCGCUAUGGCUCCCAGUGAUGGGAAAUGUAGUCCCAGACAGUCAGUGCGGAUUGUUACUCCGUGCGCUAUGGCUCCCAGUGAUGGGAAAUGUAGUCCCAGACAGUCAGUGCGGAUUGUUACUCCGUGCGCUAUGGCUCCCAGUGAUGGGAAAUGUAGUCCCAGACAGUCAGUGCGGAUUGUUACUCCGUGCGCUAUGGCUCCCAGUGAUGGGAAAUGUAGUCCCAGACAGUCAGUGCGGAUUGUUACUCCGUGCGCUAUGGCUCCCAGUGAUGGGAAAUGUAGUCCCAGACAGUCAGUGCGGAUUGUUACUCCGUGCGCUAUGGCUCCCAGUGAUGGGAAAUGUAGUCCCAGACAGUCAGUGCGGAUUGUUACUCCGUGCGCUAUGGCUCCCAGUGAUGGGAAAUGUAGUCCCAGACAGUCAGUGCGGAUUGUUACUCCGUGCGCUAUGGCUCCCAGUGAUGGGAAAUGUAGUCCCAGACAGUCAGUGCGGAUUGUUACUCCGUGCGCUAUGGCUCCCAGUGAUGGGAAAUGUAGUCCCAGACAGUCAGUGCGGAUUGUUACUCCGUGCGCUAUGGCUCCCAGUGAUGGGAAAUGUAGUCCCAGACAGUCAGUGCGGAUUGUUACUCCGUGCGCUAUGGCUCCCAGUGAUGGGAAAUGUAGUCCCAGACAGUCAGUGCGGAUUGUUACUCCGUGCGCUAUGGCUCCCAGUGAUGGGAAAUGUAGUCCCAGACAGUCAGUGCGGAUUGUUACUCCGUGCGCUAUGGCUCCCAGUGAUGGGAAAUGUAGUCCCAGACAGUCAGUGCGGAUUGUUACUCCGUGCGCUAUGGCUCCCAGUGAUGGGAAAUGUAGUCCCAGACAGUCAGUGUGGAUUGCUACUCCGUGCACUAUGGCUCCCAGUGAUGGGAAAUGUAGUCCCAGACAGUCAGUGCGGAUUGUUACUCCGUGCGCUGUGGCUCCCAGUGAUGGGAAAUGUAGUCCCAGACAGUCAGUGCGGAUUGUUACUCCAAGCGCUAUGGCUCCCAGUGAUGGGAAAUGUAGUCACAGACAGUCAGUGCGGAUUGUUACUCCGUGCGCUAUGGCUCCCAGUGAUGGGAAAUGUAGUCCCAGACAGUCAGUGCGGAUUGAUACUCCGUGCGCUGUGGCUCCCAGUGAUGGGAAAUGUAGUCCCAGACAGUCAGUGCUGAUUGAUACUCCAGGUGCUCUGGCUCCCAGUGAUGGGAAAUGUAGUCCCAGACAGUCAGUGCGGAUUGUUACUCCAUGCGCUGUGGCUCCCAGUGAUGGGAAAUGUAGUCCCAGACAGUGCGGAUUGAUACUCCGUGCGCUAUGGCUCCCAGUGAUGGGAAAUGUAGUCCCAGACAGUCAGUGCGGAUUGUUACUCCGUGCGCUAUGGCUCCCAGUGAUGGGAAAUGUAGUCCCAGUCAGUCAGUGCGGAUUGAUACUCCGUGCGCAAUGGCUCUCAGUGAUGGGAAAUGUAGUCCCAGUCAGUCAGUGCGGAUUGAUACUCCGUGCGCUGUGGCUCUCAGUGAUGGGAAAUGUAGUCCCAGACAGUCAGUGCGGAUUGAUACUCCGUGCGCUGUGGCUCUCAGUGAUGGGAAAUGUAGUCCCAGACAGUCAGUGCGGAUUGAUACUCCAGGUGCUAUGGCUCCCAGUGAUGGGAAAUGUAGUCCCAGUCAGUCAGUGCGGAUUGUUACUCCAUGUGCUAUGGCUCCCAGUGAUGGGAAAUGUAGUCCCAGACAGUCAGUGCGGGUUGUUACUCCAUGUGCUAUGGCUCCCAGUGAUGGGAAAUGUAGUCCCAGACAGUCAGUGCGGAUUGUUACUCCAUGUGCUAUGGCUCCCAGUGAUGGGAAAUGUAGUCCCAGACAGUCAGUGCGGAUUGUUACUCCAUGCGCUAUGGCUCCCAGUGAUGGGAAAUGUAGUCCCAGACAGUCAGUGCGGAUUGAUACUCCAGGUGCUAUGGCUCCCAGUGAUGGGAAAUGUAGUCCCAGACAGUCAGUGCGGAUUGUUACUCCGUGCGCUAUGGCUCCCAGUGAUGGGAAAUGUAGUCCCAGUCAGUCAGUGCGGAUUGAUACUCCGUGCGCUAUGGCUCUCAGUGAUGGGAAAUGUAGUCCCAGUCAGUCAGUGCGGAUUGAUACUCCGUGCGCUGUGGCUCUCAGUGAUGGGAAAUGUAGUCUCAGACAGUCAGUGCGGAUUGAUACUCCGUGCGCUGUGGCUCUCAGUGAUGGGAAAUGUAGUCCCAGACAGUCAGUGCGGAUUGAUACUCCAGGUGCUAUGGCUCCCAGUGAUGGGAAAUGUAGUCCCAGACAGUCAGUGCGGAUUGUUACUCCAUGUGCUAUGGCUCCCAGUGAUGGGAAAUGUAGUCCCAGACAGUCAGUGCGGAUUGUUACUCCAGGUGCUGUGGCUCCCAGUGAUGGGAAAUGUAGUCCCAGACAGUCAGUGCGGAUUGUUACUCCGUGCGCUGUGGCUCCCAGUGAUGGGAAAUGUAGUCCCAGACAGUCAGUGCGGAUUGAUACCCCAGGUGCUAUGGCUCCCAGUGAUGGGAAAUGUAGUCCCAGACAGUCAGUGCGGAUUGUUACUCCAGGUGCUGUGGCUCCCAGUGAUGGGAAAUGUAGUCCCAGACAGUCAGUGCGGAUUGUUACUCCGUGCGCUAUGGCUCCCAGUGAUGGGAAAUGUAGUCCCAGACAGUCAG
rnacentral:lncRNA from 1 species